UACGUAGGGGGCAAGCGUUAUCCGGAUUUAUUGGGCGUAAAGAGCUCGUAGGCGGCCGUUCGCGUCGGAUGUGAAAGCUCAGGGCUCAACUCUGAGAUGCCAUUCGAUACGGGACGGCUAGAGGUAGGUAGGGGAGAGUGGAAUUCCUGGUGUAGCGGUGAAAUGCGCAGAUAUCAGGAGGAACACCGGUGGCGAAGGCGGCUCUCUGGGCAUUACCUGACGCUGAGGAGCGAAAGUGUGGGGAGCGAACAGG
rnacentral:rRNA from 1 species